rnacentral:rRNA from 2 species
AGCAUAGCGAUUUGGGAUAAGUCCCUUGGAAAAGGGUAGCAUGGAGGGUGAUACUCCCGUCUUUGCUCAGGUUGUCUGUGUGUACGACACGCUUUCUUUGAGUCGAGUUGUUUGGGAAUACAGCUCAAAGUAGGUGGUAAAUUCCAUCUAAAGCUAAAUAUAGGCGUCAGACCGAUAGCGAACAAGUACCGUGAGGGAAAGAUGAAAAGAACUUUGAAAAGAGAGUUAAAGAGUACCUGAAACUGUUGAAAGGGAACCGUAUCGUUUCCAGUGUUUUAUCCUGUGCAUAUUUCAUUAGCGGAGCAAUUUGCUGGUGCCCUGUGCAUGGGUGUGACGUCAGAGUCAGUUUGUAUGCUGCGGGAGAUGGUCAGUGAGGAGGUGCGUCACUUCGGUGAAAGUUAUAUCUCGCUGUCUAGUAGCCGUGGUUGAGACUGAGGUGCC